GGUUUGCUUGCUACGAGGACGUGCCAUGCCGCGCGACAAACCAGACGACGACAACGACGACAACGCCGCCUGUUCUUCCUCCUGCCUCCGUGCGACCGAUGUCUCCUAGCAGUGGUAGCCGGUGUCGUUGUUACCACUUAUCGCAAAAACUGAUCCGACGCGGCCCCGAGCCACGCGAGUUGGCCCGUGGAAUAUGUUAGCGGAGCCGUUUAAGGGAUACCCGGCUGACCGCCUCGGGGACCAGAAAUCCUCCGGCUCUCCAGACAAUCUCGGGGUGAGGAUUCUCGCGGGUGCCUUUGUCGGACAUCGCCGGUCUCACGCGAUUCAACUGCUGCGAUCGUGUAGGGGUGCGAGGCUAAGCCAACCCUCGCGACUAAGCUGCUUUUUCGGUGUUUCGAAGACUUUUGUGGUGGCAAAGUUCGUCGGUUCGAGGUUAAAUUGGAAGGCUAACUGAAAACAAACGUGUGAUCUCGCCAAGGGCUCAAAAACUGUGAGAAUAAUAUUCCUAUCGCCACGAGACUGUCGAGGUCGAACUAACGCCGAAAACGGAAUCCGAACCGCGAUCACGGACUAAUUUCAGAUAAGUCUUAGAGUCAUUUCAAAGGGUAUCAUUGGACACUUCAUAAGAUUAUACACAAAUAGCUUAGAGAUACACCAUAUGAAGCGAUAGUACCAGACCAUGCUUCGGGUCCCAAAGAAACCAAACCCAAAUAAACAUCGUCGCUGCUCGAGUCACCGAGUAAAGCCAAGUGGUGAUCGAGAGUCAUCUUUCCAGUAGUGACUGAGAGUCACCGCUCAAGUGCAAAGGAUUAACAUGCCCGUGUUAUAAUCCGUGCGAUUAUUUGUACACGGAUACACGUACAUCGCAUACACAGAUAAUAAAAGAGUACGCGGGUGCACGUAUUGUACAUUGAAAUAUACAGUGGUUUACAUGUUAUAAAUAUCUACCGAAUAAUACAUAUUUACGCAACUAA